AUGUGCACAAUAUUACACCCCAUAAUAAUAAUAAAGCCUUGUCCCGUUUUAAGUGUUGUAGCCCCUGAUCACCGAUACCCUGUCCGACUGACGUAGGGCCCCGUAACGUAUGUCAAGGCUCUGCCUAAAUUCGUUGGGGUUCUGUCUCGUGACGUAGGGAUAAAGUGGAAUUGGGUUAUUAUACUUGAUGUGGGUGCACUAUAUAUUUUAUUAAAUAACCCAGAAGUGAUACCCAAAAUAUAACAACCCUCUCGAAUAUUUUUCUGAUACCCUACACUUCCUAAAAUACACCCCGUAUGUGAAAACCGAGCCCGAAAUACAAUAUACUAUUAAAAAUAAUUAAAAACAAGAAAAUAUAAGUUUAGGCGGGCCGCGUAAAGAUCCUCGAUUAGUUAACGCGGGCCGCGAGAGAUCGAAGUUGUGGCGCAGCCCGGUGAUGACACGUGUCAUCAUCGUGGCGGGUCUAGGGGGUGAGCCGGACAAGCUAGUCCGUUGACCAGGAUUGACGCGGGCCGCGUAACCCCUGUCCUUUCUUUACGCGGGCCGCGUGGGAACCAGUUUCAGCAACUAUAAAUAGAGGCCAUCGGAUUUCAUUUGGAAUUCGCUCACGAACGUUUUCUUCUCUCAAAUCUGAAUAUUAGGCAUAAUACUCGGGUAUUAUACCCCCUAAUUAGCGAAGCUCUGCCUCGUUAUAAGUAUCAUAACCCCUGGAUACGUAUUAGAUACUCUGCCCGAUUGAUCUAGGGUUCCGUAACGGCUGUCGUGGUUCUGCCCGACGUAGUCGUUGGAAUGCCGUCUCGGGGAGGGUAUUACUAAUGUUAAAAUGGGUUAUUAUACUAACGCGUGUGCAUUGUUUAUUUAAUUAGACUACUAGUUUAAGAACCCGCGAGGUUCGCGGGUGGACUAAAACACAAAUGAAUAAGUUUAAUUUAUUGAAGUAAUCGUUUGAAUUAAAUAACCGUUCAAGUAAUAAUAAAUUAGUAAACUACAAUGAGACAAAUAAUGUAAUAUCUCGAGAUAUAUUAAUUAUUAUUUAUGUUAAUACAUAAUUAAAAGAUUGACAUGUUAAUGUCUU
rnacentral:lncRNA from 1 species